GAUGAACGCUGGCGGCGUGCCUAAUACAUGCAAGUCGAGCGAACGGACGAGAAGCUUGCUUCUCUGAUGUUAGCGGCGGACGGGUGAGUAACACGUGGAUAACCUACCUAUAAGACUGGGAUAACUUCGGGAAACCGGAGCUAAUACCGGAUAAUAUUUUGAACCGCAUGGUUCAAAAGUGAAAGCCGGUCUUGCUGUCACUUAUAGAUGGAUCCGCGCUGCAUUAGCUAGUUGGUAAGGUAACGGCUUACCAAGGCAACGAUGCAUAGCCGACCUGAGAGGGUGAUAGACCACACGAGAACUGAGACACGGUCCUGACGCCUACGGGAGGCAGCAGGAGGGAAUCUUCCGCAAUGGGCGGAAGCCUGACGGAGCAACGCGACGUGAGUGAUGAAGGUCUUCGGAUCGUAAAACUCGGUUAUUAGGGAAAAACAUAUGUGUAAGUAACUGUGCACGUCUUGACGGUACCUAAUCAGAAAGCCACGGCUAACUACGUG
rnacentral:rRNA from 1 species